UGUAUUCAAUGCACUGGAUUUGAUGGAAAAUAAGACAUUCUUGGAAAAACUCAAGUUUGGUAUAGGAGAUGGCAAUUUGCAGUAUUACCUGUACAAUUGGAGGUGUCCAGGUACAGAUUCUGAAAAGGGCUCUGGUAACUUCGUUAACGCCAAUGGCAAGCUGCUUCCUGACGUGUGCAGGCGUCCACCCUGACACUUGCUGCUUAGCAUCUGUUUUCUUCUCCUUCAGAUUCUCACUAAUAUCAACAGCAAUGCUGCAUUUCUCUCUGCUUUCUUUUUUCAGAAAAGGUGUUUUGUUCUUUUUCUUCUUAUCUUCAAUCUUCUGAAGUCCAAUAGCUUUAAGCCUGUCCUCAAGCGUCUGUAGGAUGAAGUGCAUAUCCUCGCUCUCCAGAGCGCUCCAGCGGAUGAUGUAUGGGUUGUUCAACGACGUCUUCACAACCAGAGGUCUCGUCUUACGGAGAGAUCCCCGCCCCGGUGCUUGAGGAGCUGCAGCCAUUUUGAAAAUCCUUCCAAGAAGCAAAAUGACAACAGAAAAAAUUCAUGUUAGCGACAACUGCAUGACUUAAGAAUAUCUUGACUGUACUCUCUGAUUCUUAUUUAUUUAUGUAUUUAUUUUUUGAGACAGAAUUUCACUCUUGUUGCCCAGGCUGGAGUGCAGUGGCACAAUCUCAGCUCACUGCAACCUCCACCUCCUGGGUUCAAGCGAUUCUCCUGCCUCAGCCUCCCGAGUAGCUGGGAUUACAGGCGCCCGCCACCAAGCCCAGCUAAUGUUUCUAUUUUUUUUUAGUAGAGACAGGGUUUCACCAUGUUGCCCAGGCUGGUCUCAAACUCCUGACCUCAGGUGAUCCACCCACCUCGGCCUCCCAAAGUGCUGGGAUUACAGGCAUGAGCCACUGCGCCCGGCCUGUACUCUGAUUCUGGAUAAGCUAGAGCAAGCCUGAUUAUAUAAGUCCAAUUAGGUGAGCAUACGCUUGUCUUCCUUUUAAAGAUUAAGUAAUUUUAUUUUUCCCCAUUUUUCUUACCCGAUUUUGAAUGCUCUACGAAGGCUCUUUAAAAUACUCAGGACUAUGGGUGAGUAGUGUUUAAUUUUCCCCAUUUUUUUAUAUGACUUUGUCUUUAUUCCUAUACAAGCAAUAUGUGAAAGUUUUAAUUAUUGCAAUCAUAGUACAAUUCCAUUUGUCUAUUUCAUUUAUUAAAAAUAUUCUGUUUCUACUUGUUCAUAAUUAA
rnacentral:lncRNA from 1 species